AACGAACGCUGGCGGCAUGCCUAACACAUGCAAGUCGAACGAGACCUUCGGGUCUAGUGGCGCACGGGUGCGUAACGCGUGGGAACCUGCCCUUAGGUUCGGAAUAACUCCCCGAAAGGGGUGCUAAUACCGGAUAAUGUCUUCGGACCAAAGAUUUAUCGCCUUUGGAUGGGCCCGCGUUGGAUUAGCUAGUUGGUAGGGUAAAAGCCUACCAAGGCGACGAUCCAUAGCUGGUCUGAGAGGAUGAUCAGCCACACUGGGACUGGGACACGGCCCAGACUCCUACGGGAGGCAGCAGUGGGGAAUAUUGGACAAUGGGCGAAAGCCUGAUCCAGCAAUGCCGCGUGAGUGAUAAAGGCCUUAGGGUUGUAAAGCUCUUUUACCCGGGAUGAUAAUGACAGUACCGGGAGAAUAAGCUCCGGCUAACUCCGUG
rnacentral:rRNA from 1 species